CUUAACCGACCCCAGCCACAACGGCCGCUCCGACCCACGGCCCUGACCAUAGGUCGCCAACAACGCCUGCGCCUC
rnacentral:antisense_RNA from 1 species